GUGUUGGCUUAAGCAGCACAUAUACUAAAAUUGAAAUGACACAGAAAAGAUUUGUGUGGCCUUGUGCAAGGACGACACACAGGUUCCUGAAAUGUUCCAUAGCCAA